rnacentral:rRNA from 1 species
UAUGCUGGUGUCCUAGACGUAGAACAAUUACACCAAUCCAUUCCGAACUCGGUGGUUACACUCUAUUUUGGUGACGAUACUGCAAGGGUAGCCUUGUGGAAAAAUAACUUGACGUCAGUAA